GGCCGCCUGGCGAAAUGGCAUCGCGUCUGACUACGACUUCAUUACGUAAUUUCGCAUCAGGAGAUUGCAGGUUCGACCCCUGCGGUGGUCA